rnacentral:rRNA from 1 species
CCUACGGGUGGCAGCAGUGGGGGAUAUUGCACAAUGGGGGAAACCCUGAUGCAGCGACGCCGCGUGGGUGAAGAAGCGCCUCGGCGCGUAAAGCCCUGUCAGCAGGGAAGAAAAUGACGGUACCUGAAGAAGAAGCCGCGGCCAACUACGUGCCAGCAGCCGCGGUAAUACGUAGGGGGCAAGCGUUACCCGGAUUGACUGGGUGUAAAGGGGGCGCAGACGGCGAUGCAAGCCAGGAGUGAAAGCCCGGGGCCCAACCCCGGGACUGAUCUUGGAACUGCGUGGCUAGAGUGCAGGAGGGGCUGGCGGAAUUCCUGGUGUAGCGGUGAAAUGCGUAGAUAUCAGGAGGAACACCGGUGGCGAAGGCGGCCUGCUGGACUGCAACUGACGUUGAGGCCCGAAAGCGUGGGGAGCAAACAGGAUUAGAUACCCGGGUAGUC